UCAUGGCCGAAUUCCCUCCACGGGGAACGGGGGAACCACUUUGGGUGAAUUGAUCUCGCUAGAGAGGGAUCAUAGGGAACCUUCAACCGAAUCCUUAAGCUAACCUCGUAGGCAAUCGGAA
rnacentral:sRNA from 1 species